AUUGAACGCUGGCGGCAUGCCUUACACAUGCAAGUCGAACGGCAGCACGGGUGCUUGCACCUGGUGGCGAGUGGCGAACGGGUGAGUAAUACAUCGGAACAUGUCCUGUAGUGGGGGGUAGCCCGGCGAAAGCCGGAUUAAUACCGCAUACGAUCUACGGAUGAAAGCGUGGGACCUUCGGGCCUCGCGCGAUAGGGUUGGCCGAUGCGUGAUUAGCUCGUUGGGGGGGUAAAGGCCUACCACGACGCCGAGCAGUAUAUGGUCUGAGAGGGCGACCAGCCACACUGGGACUGAGACACGGCCCAGACGCCUACGGGAGGCAGCAGUGGGGAAUUGUGGACAAUGGGCGAAAGCCUGAUCCAGCAAUGCCGAGUGUGUGAAGAAGGCCUUCGGGUUGUAAAGCACUUUUGUCCGGAAAGAAAUCCUUUGCCCUAAGACGGUCGGGGGAUGACGGUACCGGAAGAAUAAGCACCGGCUAACUACGUG
rnacentral:rRNA from 1 species